rnacentral:rRNA from 1 species
GCCUACCAUGGUGGUAACGGGUAACGGGGUGUUAGGGCACGACACCGGAGAGGGAGCCUGAGAAACGGCUACCACAUCCAAGGAAGGCAGCAGGCGCGCAAAUUACCCAAUCCCGACACGGGGAGGUAGUGACAAUAAAUAACAAUACAGGGUUCUUUUGGAUCUUGUAAUUGGAAUGAGUACAAUUUAAAUCUCUUAACGAGGAACAAUUGGAGGGCAAGUCUGGUGCCAGCAGCCGCGGUAAUUCCAGCUCCAAUAGCGUAUAUUAAAGUUGUUGCAGUUAAAAAGCUCGUAGUUGAAUUUCGGGAUCAAGGAAUCGGUCAUGCCUUGGUAUGUACUGGUUUUAUUGGUUCUCACCUUCUAAAGAACCAUAAUGUCAUUCAUUUGAUGUUAUGGGGAAUUAGGACUGUUACCUUGAAAAAAUUAGAGUGUUUAAAGCAGGCUUACGCUUGAAUACAUUAGCAUGGAAUAAUGAAAUAGGACAUCAGAUUCUAUUUUGUUGGUUUCUAGGAUCGAUGUAAUGAUUAACAGGGAUAGUUGGGGGCAUUAGUAUUCAAUUGUCAGAGGUGAAAUUCUUGGAUUUAUUGAAGACUAACUACUGCGAAAGCAUUUGCCAAGGAUGUUUUCAUUAAUCAAGAACGAAAGUUAGGGGAUCGAAGACGAUCAGAUACCGUCGUAGUCUUAACCAUAAACUAUGCCGACUAGGGAUCGGAUGAUGUUAAUUUUAUAAUGACUCAUUCGGCACCUUACG